rfam:Schistosoma mattheei strain Denwood, Zambia genome assembly, scaffold: SMTD_scaffold0006073
AUCUAGCUGAAGAGUUCCAAAUAGAACGGAACGUGCGUCCACUGCUAGUCAGUAU